UUUGCAGCAAAAGGAAUGUUGUGUGACAGGUUUGCACCUGAGUUUUUUCAUGGAUAGUUUUUUAAUAUCCCAGAAAUUUUACUUUGUGCAAACCUGACAGCUAGAUGAAGACAAUUAGGAGCAGCACGGGAGCUUGAGGACAAGGGAGAGAAAAGUGUGUUGUAACCCACAGUGCUUCUAUACAAACCAUCACAGAGAAUGAUGACAGACCACAGGUACAGUUGUAUAUGGGGAUUUGAUAUUUAUUAUUGAAAUCAAAGAUCACUUUGUGACCAAUUAAGUAUUUGUGCUUAGACCAGCAAAGAUAUCUGUGCAGAGUGGUAACUGUUGAUAUUAGAGCUGGGAUCUUCUUGGUAACUGGGCUUGUGGCUGAAGUGGACUUUUUGUUAAAUAGAUGCUUUGUUUCUGUGGGUGGGUUGACCUCGUCCAGCUGCCAGGUGCCCACCGAGGUGCUCUUACUCUCCUCAUCAACAGGCCAAGGGGGGAAAAGAAGAUGGAAAUGUUCUUCCGUUGAGAUCACGUACCAAUUGCCAUCCAGGCAAAACAGACUUAACUUGAGGAAAAUUAAAUUAAUUUAUUGCUAAUUAAGAUAUAUUUGGAUGGUGAGAAACAAACACAAAACACCUCCCCCAGAUACAACAGAUUUGGCAUCUCCAAGUAUAAUGGUGGCCAUAUGAACUUUUUAGGAAGGAUCAUUGUCAAAACCCACUGUAAAGCUGUUUUGUACAAAGCUCUUCUCCGCAACAGGAGCCCAUCCACAGCCCUCCCGACAAGGAGAGACCAUGAUGCACCAGGUUUGCUUGGGGGACUCGCAUUGCUGGUCCAAAAUGUGCUGUUUGCUUGGCCUAAGCUUUUCAGUCAACAGUUGCUUCAAAUUCUUCAACAACAAAUCGAUCCAUAAAAAUCUGACCCUCUGCUAGCACUUCAGAGGCAUUUGUAAGUUUUUCUUGAAUGAACACAGAUAAGAUGUUUCCAUGACAUGCUUUGCAGUGGUGUAAAUCAAGAACAAUGUAAUGAUGUUGAGGAACAGAAUAGCAAAACAAAUUAAAAUAGAAAUGGUAGCAUGCCUGCUGAGACUCUAACAGAUGUACUGUGAAUACAUCUGGAUCUCAGAGGAAAACACAAAACUUUACAGAAAAUAGAGAGUGUGUGUCAGAAUACAUCUCUGGGUGCUGGUAAAUGUCCCAGUGGCACUAGAGGAGCACAUAAUGUGCCUUAACUUUUUAGAGGUUCCACAGUAGAACUUACCUGUCGGUAAGUUCUACUAUAGACAGAGGCUGGAUCAGGUUUACUCGUUGCAUGUUCAUAUUCCAACAUACCAUUCCAUGACAAGGUGUUUUAGGGUCUAGUGAAAACACUCUGUAUUGAAGAAAGAAAAGAGAGAUGUGUCAAAACAGUACCACCUGUAAAACAAAAUGGAAUCAAGGAUAGUCCCUUUAUAUUUCUAUUGUUUAUUUAUAUAUGUAGUAGCUAAAUAUCUGUGAAAUUAUGUUUGCAAGAUGGUCCCCUGCCAUCUGAACCUCAUCAAUAGGUUUCUGAACGUGUAUUUGCAUCUGGGGAAAAAAGCCGUGGAUACCAAAAAGCAUCUAUAUUCCUCUGUUUCCGAGUGAAGUGUUCACGGUGUGCGAGGCUGGGGCGGAGGGACGGCCACCAAGAUGUGCUGCAGGGGCUGUGUGCGCAGGAUCGCCCCCUCCCCAUCCUGCCCCGCUCAGUGGGGAACCAGCUGGACACUUGGCACAGACUGGAUUUUCAGUUCACGGAAACAUUUGGCAGAAGACUAUAACUUUGAAUCUUGAAUUCCUGGGUCUUCCUUCAAUUUCUUCACUUGAAAGAAACACUAUGAUAGAGCAUUGUAUCAAAACCAGAAAAGAUGGAGAGAGCUCAGCACAGCUGCUGUUGUGGCUGGUUUAUGGCUGAACUACUAACAUAAGAGAAGAUACAAAACCCGAUCAGUUAACUCGUGGAAAUGCUAAGCAUCCUUGAAACUCUUAUGCUGAGAUUUUCUUGGAAGAUUACUUCUACUACUCGAUGGUGAAUAACUUCAAACAGGAGUGAGAUCUGAGACCGGCCAAUUUCUUCUCAAGAACAAAUGAGUCUCAAAUUCUAGUCUGUCAGCCUGGAAUUUGAGCCUGCAGGUGGAGGAUUAAUGGAAAACCACAAGGUUACUGUCCUUAACAGGAGGAAAUUUUAAAAGGAGGCAAAGAGGAGCACUGCAUUACUGUUGUCACCUGGAUAUACCUCUGAUACACGGAGAAAACCCAGAGAAGAACAGGAGCCGCCUUCUUUCUUUGGUGCUUUUGUGUGACUUUGAUUCUCUGGGUGAGAACACUCCUAUUUACUUCAGCUGAAACUGGAGUAAGUCCUGGGAUCAUCUUAAUCCGUAAUUGAACUGAAAACGGUGUCAUUCUGAAAAAAUUGGAGCUGGAUGUUGCAGUUACAAGCAUUUUGGAACAAUGUAGCUGCCCAGUCAAUUCUUACUGCUGGCCUGACCCUCCAGCAUGUGUAAUGCAAAACUUGGCACCGGCUCGUGUGGAUCCUUGUCAAGGACGGAAAUCAAGCUGGCUUCUUGGCUUCUGAUGGCAGUUCAUAGCAAACAGACCUGUUUGUGGCUGCAGUGCUGAGUCUGCUGGGGCAUCGACUGAAAAUACAUAAGGAGCAGAACCUGAAGACAUGCUAGCCAAGAGAAAAAAUGUUCUGGACUGUGCCUCCUGCCAAGCUGUUCACUGGUGAUUCCUGCACUGGUAUGAAGUCCCUUGCUUCCUAAUAAAGACAACUAAAUUUCACCUAUAUGCAAAUCAUGUGAGGAAGAGCAUGGAACUGUUUUAGUAUAAGAAAAAGAAGAAUUGACGUAAGAAAGUGAGCCUGCUAAAGGUCAGCUUGUGCCAUCUCUCACUGUUUCACUAGCCAAGUGAAACAGCCAACCGGCCGAAUGAAGAGUUAAGCAAUACCUGUUCAGUAGGGUUUUGGUACAGCUUCCAUCAGUACAGAAUGGGAGGACUGCUGAGGGGAGCGCUCAGUCCCUGCAAGAGCCCAGAGCUGAGUAAGCAGGGGACCAGCCAGCAGGCAAGCAGAGAGACAGGAGAACCCGCCAGCUCUGGGCCGCCUCCUUUCCUCCUUCUGAGGGUGAAGUGGCCUUUGCUGGCCCAACCCAACAGCCAUGGCCUUGGGGAGGGUUCCCAGCCCUGCCUGCGUCCUGGGAAGGAGCCAACACCGCCCUGCUGCUGGCCACGCCAGGGACAGAGAGAGCAAUGCUGAAACAUUGGACAUGCUGAAUGGACAAUGCUGAAACAUGGACAGAGGCACGCAUGCUGAAAAUGAUUAACUGGUCAUUAGUAAUUGUACUGAGGGAACGGAGAAGGGGAGAAACAGAAGCUGGAGCUCAGGAGGAAGCUGGAACCUCUCAUUUCCAGCAGCUGGUGAAAAAAGCCUCAAGCAAAAUCCCAUUUCCUAACUGUGGUAGCUGGGGACAUGCACAAGCACAUGGAGGGUCCCCCAAGCCCACGACUGUGUAGCAAAAACAAACCUGGUGACUGUGGGCAUACGUUGUCAUGUAUCUCCCAUAGGUCAUGCAUUUCUGUUUGGGAAGAGGAGGGAGAGAGGGGAAAGGAAGCGGGAUGAUUCAUAAGUGCUGAACUUUUGGGGAAAGCACAGCUGUUAUCCCAGAUUGGGGAGAUUGCUCUGAACAGUGCUUUUCCCUUCAUCCUCCUCCACCUCAAAAAAAUCAGUCAAUUUUGCCACAUAAAGCAAAAUAGAAAAGAUUUCCAGGAACAAAACUGAUGUUUUAAGCAAGAGGAGUCAUCAGUGUAUUGCUGUAUAUGUUACGAAGGGUAAGAUCUUGUGUGGAACAGAAGCAGACGAAGAGGUAAGAUACUUUGGAAGAUGACUGUGUCAUUGAUGUAGGAACCUGGUUACUUCAUUUUGUGUUAUCUCUUCUAGAUCCCCUGUCUCGGAUCAUGUUAUAGGACUUGCGUUUGCUCUUCCUUGUGAAAAAAAGCCCCGCUAAAACCCAGUUGUGCAGUUUUACCAGAAGUGGCAAACUGCUGCUUCUUCUGUGAUUAUGGUUAGCUAAAGAAUUGUAUACUUGUAUCUCCUAUAAAUCGUACCUUUGUGAUUAUAUGAGGACAUGCUUUGUCUGGGACCUGUAUAUGGAAAAGAACCAGAAAGAAUUUAGUGCCUAAGCUACCUUUUCCAAACCAUGUUCUAAAAUACUGGGGUUUAUUAUCACUAGGAAAAUUGUGCACAGAUGAAAGCACUGUGAAAACUCUGCUGACCAGGUACUGGAUGAAGACAACUCUCUCUGCUCUGACAUCUUCCAGUGAUUCUUGUGUUCCUAGUAAAUGCGUGACAAUUAACUGAGAGUUCCUGCUCAUCUCUGUCCUGUACUGUCUCACCAGUAGUCCCGCUGCAGCUUUGACUUUCAGGUUCUGUUGUGGCAGCUCUGGUUCAUGCAGGAGAUGCCAAACACAUGUGAAUGAUGCUACUACAGAGCACAUGUUGGGGCUUGCUCAUGGGCUUGUGCACAGCUCAGCUCCUCACCCC